UGAAGUAGGUCCCAAGGGUAUGGCUGUUCGCCAUUUAAAGUGGUACGCGAGCUGGGUUUAGAACGUCGUGAGACAGUUCGGUCCCUAUCUGCCGUGGGCGCUGGAGAAUUGAGGGGGGCUGCUCCUAGUACGAGAGGACCGGAGUGGACGCAUCACUGGUGUUCGGGUUGUCAUGCCAAUGGCACUGCCCGGUAGCUAAAUGCGGAAGAGAUAAGUGCUGAAAGCAUCUAAGCACGAAACUUGCCCCGAGAUGAGUUCUCCCUGAGACUAUAAGUCUCCUGAAGGAACGUUGAAGACGACGACGUUGAUAGGCCGGGUGUGUAAGCGCAGCGAUGCGUUGAGCUAACCGGUACUAAUGAACCGUGAGGCUUAACCUUACAACGCCGAAG
rnacentral:rRNA from 1 species